UUAGCCAUGAGGAUUUGACAGGACU
rnacentral:piRNA from 1 species